UUGUCGUCACCUCGUGUCGUGAGAUGUUGGGUUAAGUCCCGCAACGAGCGCAACCCUUGAUCUUAUUUGCCAUCAUUUAGUUGGGCACUCUAAGGUGACUGCCGGUGACAAACCGGAGGAAGGUGGGGAUGACGUCAAAUCAUCAUGCCCCUUAUGACCUGGGCUACACACGUGCUACAAUGGACGAUACAAACGGUUGCCAACUCGCGAGAGGGAGCUAAUCCGAUAAAGUCGUUCUCAGUUCGGAUUGUAGGCUGCAACUCGCCUACAUGAAGCCGGAAUCGCUAGUAAUCGCGGAUCAGCAUGCCGCGGUGAAUACGUUCCCGGGUCUUGUACACACC
rnacentral:rRNA from 1 species